rnacentral:rRNA from 1 species
GUUGACCUCGGAUCAGGUAGGAAUACCCGCUGAACUUAAGCAUAUCAAUAAGCGGAGGAAAAGAAACCAACAGGGAUUGCCCCAGUAACGGCGAGUGAAGCGGCAACAGCUCAAAUUUGAAAUCUGGCCCCAGGCCCGAGUUGUAAUUUGCAGAGGAUGCUUUUGGCGCGGUGCCUUCCGAGUUCCCUGGAACGGGACGCCAUAGAGGGUGAGAGCCCCGUACGGUUGGACACCAAGCCUUUGUAAAGCUCCUUCGACGAGUCGAGUAGUUUGGGAAUGCUGCUCUAAAUGGGAGGUACAUUUCUUCUAAAGCUAAAUAUUGGCCAGAGACCGAUAGCGCACAAGUAGAGUGAUCGAAAGAUGAAAAGCACUUUGAAAAGAGGGUUAAACAGCACGUGAAAUUGUUAAAAGGGAAGCGCUUGUGACCAGACUUGCGUCCGGUGAAUCACCCAGCUCUCGCGGCUGGGGCACUUCGCCGGCACAGGCCAGCAUCAGCUUGCCGUCGGGGACAAAAGCUUCAGGAACGUGGCUCCUCUCGGGGAGUGUUAUAACCUGUUGCAUAAUACCCUUCGGCGGGCUGAGGUACGCGCUCCGCAAGGAUGCUGGCGUAAUGGUCAUCAGCGAC